rnacentral:rRNA from 1 species
GAUGAACGCUGGCGGCGCGCCUAACACAUGCAAGUCGAACGAUUAAAGCACCUUCGGGUGUGUAUAAAGUGUCGAACGGCUGAGUAACACGUGUGCAACCUGCCCCUCUCAUUGGGGUAGCCCCGUGAAACCGUGGAUAAUACCGAAUACUUCGGGACUUCCGCAUGGAAGACUCGAGAAAGCUCCGGCGGAGAGGGAUGGGCGCGCGGCCUGUUAGCUUGUUGGUGGGGUAAUGGCGUACCAAGGACAUGAUGGGUAGCUGGGUUGAGAGUCAGACCAGGCACAGAGGGACUGAGACAGGGGCAGGACUCCUACGGGAGGCAGGGGUGGGAAUCCUACCAAGAUGGGCGAAAGGCGGAUGCAGCGACGCCGGGUGGGGGAUGAAGGCUGUCGGGGUGUAAACCGCUUUCAGCAGGGACGAGGCGAAUGUGACGGUACCUGAAGAAGAAGCCACGGCUAACUACGUG